GAGGAGCGCGCUUGCCGCAAAACACAUUUGCUUGGCGGUGAUUACUCGUUGAGGAACUCUGGACUCCCCCCUUCUAUUGGAAGAGGGGCAAACGGUGGACCUUGACGUCCCUAGGAUUUAUAAUUGUAAAUUGAAUGAGAUAAAGAUUUCAACUUUAAUCAUUUAUAAGUACAAUUUUUCUUAAUUGUGAAUUAUUUCAUAAAUUAAACUUUUUCUUUUGUGUUGUGAAAAAGUUAUUUUUCAUCAAGAUAAAGAGGGUCUUACAGUGGAUUAUGAUAAUGAAAAUAUAUUGGUAGAUUUCCUUGCCUGUUUUUUAUCCGAGCCCGUCUUUUCAUGUCGUAUAAUCCUAUACAACUUCUUAUAUAAACCUUGGCACAGCUAAAUAUUUUACAUUCAGACCUAAAUGGGGAAAAGGCAAGGAUCAAGUUUAAAUCUUAAUAAACAUUUGAAACUGUCUGUGGAUUGCCAUUUUGUAAAUCAAAUAUUUUACAUUAUAACUUUGUUAUAAAAAGCAUUUUACUGGAAAUAAAUUCGAAUUAAAAUUUUGAUAACGACAAACAUUUCCUUUUAAACGUUGAGCAACUUGGGUAAAAUUAGUCUAAUUUCAAAGUAUUUCCUUAUUCUUGAAUCCAUGGUUCCAGAAAAGAACGGCUUCCUUCAAUAUCAUGGCAGCUGGUUUUUCUUCUCUUCAAUCUACUUACUUUAUCAAGAGGAGUGCCAAAUCCAGAAAACUUGACCAAGGAUCUAGAUGAAACACAAGAUUUGAAAAGAGAACCGGUUCCCGAGUAGAAUCUUAGAGUCGGGAACCUAGUCUUAGGCGCCGGGCCGACCUCCUCCGACCCUCUGUUUUUGGAAAAAAAUAUCAAAUUUCACCAAAUAUAUGUAAUAUGAGCAAAA